rnacentral:rRNA from 1 species
GAUGAACGCUGACAGAAUGCUUAACACAUGCAAGUCCACUUGAAUUUGGGUUUUUAACUUAGGUUUGGGUGGCGGACGGGUGAGUAACGCGUAAAGAACUUGCCUCACAGCUAGGGACAACAUUUGGAAACGAAUGCUAAUACCUAAUAUUAUGAUAAUAGGGCAUCCUAUAAUUAUGAAAGCUAUAAGCGCUGUGAGAGAGCUUUGCGUCCCAUUAGCUAGUUGGAGAGGUAACGGCUCACCAAGGCGAUGAUGGGUAGCCGGCCUGAGAGGGUGAUCGGCCACAAGGGGACUGAGACACGGCCCUUACUCCUACGGGAGGCAGCAGUGGGGAAUAUCGGACAAUGGACCGAGAGUCUGAUCCAGCAAUUCUGUGUGCACGAUGAAGUUUUUCGGAAUGUAAAGUGCUUUCAGUUGGGAAGAAACAAAUGACGGUACCAACAGAAGAAGUGACGGCUAAAUACGUG